rnacentral:rRNA from 1 species
UACGUAGGGUGCAAGCGUUGUCCGGAAUUACUGGGCGUAAAGCGCGCGUAGGCGGAUCGUUAAGUCGGGGGUGAAAUCCUGGAGCUCAACUCCAGAACUGCCUUCGAUACUGGCGAUCUUGAGUCCGGGAGAGGUGAGUGGAACUGCGAGUGUAGAGGUGAAAUUCGUAGAUAUUCGCAAGAACACCAGUGGCGAAGGCGGCUCACUGGCCCGGUACUGACGCUGAGGUGCGAAAGCGUGGGGAGCGAACAGG